CCUAACACAUGCAAGUCGAACGAGAAUCUUUGAACAGAACUUUUCGGAGUGACGUUCAAAGAGGAAAGUGGCGGACGGGCGAGUAACGCGUGAGUAACCUGCCCAUAAGAGGGGGAUAAUCCAUGGAAACGUGGACUAAUACCGCAUAUUGUAAUUAAGUUGCAUGACUUGAUUAUGAAAGAUUUAUCGCUUAUGGAUGGACUCGCGUCAGAUUAGAUAGUUGGUGAGGUAACGGCUCACCAAGUCAACGAUCUGUAGCCGAACUGAGAGGUUGAUCGGCCGCAUUGGGACUGAGACACGGCCCAGACUCCUACGGGAGGCAGCAGUGGGGAAUAUUGCGCAAUGGGGGCAACCCUGACGCAGCAACGCCGCGUGCAGGAAGAAGGUCUUCGGAUUGUAAACUGUUGUCGCAAGGGAAGAAGACAGUGACGGUACCUUGUGAGAAAGUCACGGCUAACUACGUGCCAGCAGCCGCGGUAAUACGUAGGUGACAAGCGUUGUCCGGAUUUACUGGGUGUAAAGGGCGCGUAGGCGGACUGUCAAGUCAGUCGUGAAAUACCGGGGCUUAACCCCGGGGCUGCGAUUGAAACUGACAGCCUUGAGUAUCGGAGAGGAAAGCGGAAUUCCUAGUGUAGCGGUGAAAUGCGUAGAUAUUAGGAGGAACACCAGUGGCGAAGGCGGCUUUCUGGACGACAACUGACGCUGAGGCGCGAAAGUGUGGGGAGCAAACAGGAUUAGAUACCCUGGUAGUCCACACCGUAAACGAUGGAUACUAGGUGUAGGAGGUAUCGACCCCUUCUGUGCCGCAGUUAACACAAUAAGUAUCCCACCUGGGGAGUACGACCGCAAGGUUGAAACUCAAAGGAAUUGACGGAAGGG
rnacentral:rRNA from 1 species